rnacentral:lncRNA from 1 species
GUAAAAGGGACCAGCUAGCCUCCAAGCAGUAGCAGAGCUACAUUUUUUUACAUGGGGUGUCCACUGCUAUUUUAGGGGGUAAUCACACACACACACACAUACACACACACACAUACACACACACAUACACACACACACUGUACUCAAAUACAAAGAUACACACACACACACACACACACAUGAGAAUAAGGUGAAUAGACAAAAAUAAACAAAUUAUUUUAUAUUUUUCAGCUCAGCCUGUGAUCAUGGGAUUGCUACAAGACCAUCCAUCACCACCAUUAAGAAGAUCAGCGUUCAUGGUUAUCGAGGUUUUCUGAUGUUUGAAAGAAACUUGGCUGACGUGAAUAGGGUCGAACUAUUCAGCAGAUUGGAAGGCAUUAAGGUAUUUUUCAACACUGGCCACAUGAUCAAAGUUGGUAACAAUUCCGGAAGAAGAUCUACAGACGGAUUUAUAUUUGAUGACAAUGAUAAAAUUAAUGCAGCAACAAUGUGGCAAGAAAAUAGAUAUUUUGAUGGAUUCACAUUUGAGGUCGCCAACAGUAAUGGUACAGUAAAAACAUAUUCUGCCAAGUGUACGGAUCUGUCUGAGCCUGUGAAGAUUGAUGUGAAGUCUGGAAAAUGUUACGGCAUUACAGCAAGAUGUGGAGAAAAAUGUACUCCAAGCGCUCGGAUUCUACUUCAUUUAGAUUCUCAGUAAUGAAAGUAAUAAUGCAGAGAUGAAAAUAUAGCAUAGUGUGAGAUUUGAAUCAAUAAAUAAUACUUGUACAUGUUUUCAAGCACACACAGAAUCAAAAAUUUGAGAUUUAUUGUAAUGUAACAAUGGUGGUUGUUAAAAAGGUGAAAAGCAAUUGAUAUUUGAUGUGUUUAAUGUGUUGUUUUUAAUUCAUUAAUUUAAUGGUUUCAUUUAAUCAAAUAAUCAUGUGUAUUUAUUAGUCAUUUAUAUAUGUUUAUUUGAUUAUUUUUGGAAUGUAAUUAUUUAGAUCAAUUAUUUUGGUUAUUUAAAGUCUACAUAAACUGGAAGUUGUUGAUGCUUUUCAGUGUGUUGAUGUACUUCAGACUAAAACAGAAUAUUGAGUAGGGGCAGGGCUUUCUUUUUGCAAAUAAUUUGAAUUUUACGGUAUCACCCUAUGAAAGGGGCUAGUCUCUUUAAGCAAACUAACAGUAAGAGUGGUGCGGUUAAGAAUAUUGUAGGGGGAAAAAAUCAGAGAAUUAACUUGUUCACAUAAAUAACAUAAUAAUGUGUGGUUGCAAAAUAAGCAUUGUUAAUUUUGAUUUCAGAUGACUUUGCACAAUGUACAAUGUAAUGUAAUGUCAAUGGACAAUGUUGCAAAGCAAUAAUUGUCCAUUGCUAUUGCUUAUGGUAUAAUAAAACUACUGAUCAAAGGGAAACAUAAAGGCUAACCAAGAUUUAAUAAACACUUUUUUAAUCAUC